AUAGAUUGAUAUGAGUCGCUGUACUUCAUGCAAGAAUACAAGCUUAACUUCUAAUAAAAAAAUUUCUUUUCAUAGAUUUCCUAUCAUGAAUGAAAUUUUAUUAUCAAAAUGGCUAAAGGCAAUGAAUAAGGAAAAUUUCACUCCUAAUAAGUUUUCAAAGCUUUGUGGAGCCCAUUUCAAACCUGAAUGUUUUAUGCCCUCACAUUCAGGGAAUGCUAUUCUAUAGGAAGGAUCUGUACCAUCCAUUUUUAAUUCCAGACCCCUUCAGGAUAUAACAAAUAUUCCAUCGAAUACAAAUAAUACUCCUACAAGUUUUAACUAUGUAGAAAAAAAUGAUCAUACUUAUGCUACUAAUAUUUACUCUUUAGCUAAAAAGAAAAAAUUAGAAAUACCUAUUAAUACUCUAGAAGUGGAAGGCUUGGAAGAGCCUGUUAGAGAUAAUAGCCCAGUGAGCCAUAUUUAUUACAUUACUAUAUACAUCAGUGAUAUGUUUUGAUUUUAUGGAUAAAAACAUCUACCAGUUAUCCAAAAGUGUAUGUUAUAUUGGAUGUAUGCCAUAUGAUGAAGCUACUUAGAAAUCUGCUCGGUGAUAAAAAAAUUUUAAUCAAUAAUAAUAAUGGAGCUAUAAUAAAUUGGAAAUAUAUAAAAAAUCUUCACAAUUUACAGGAUAACGAAAGCUAAGGGCUGCUAAUAAGAAGUUGACGAAAACCAUUCUAUUCGCAGGACAAUAAAUAUAUUGGCACAUGAUCUUUUUUAAUUCAUAUUAUGACUGUAUAUAUUUAAAUAUGGAUGCUAUAUAUUAAUGAAUUUUGUAAUU